rnacentral:rRNA from 1 species
GAUGAACGCUGGCGGCGUGCCUAAUACAUGCAAGUCGAGCGAACAGACGAUGAGCUUGCUCCUCUGACGUUAGCGGCUGACGGGUGAGUAACACGUGGAUAACCUUCUUAUUAUACUGGGAUAAUUUCGUGAAACCGGAUCUACUACUGGAUAAUAUAUUGUACCGCAUGGUUCAAUAGUUAAUCACGGCUUUCCUGUUACUUUUAGCUGAUGUCGGAUUAGCUAGUCGGCUGGGUAAAGGCCCACCAAGGCCACGAUGCGUAGCUGGUCUGAGAGGAUGAUCAGCCACACUGGAACUGAGACACGGUCCAGACUCCUACGGGAGGCAGCAGUGGGGAAUAUUGGGCAAUGGGCGAAAGCCUGACGGAGCAACGCCGCGUGGGUGAAGAAGGUCUUCGGAUCGUAAAGCCCUGUUGUUAGGGAAGAACAGCAGUAUAAGAAAAUACGGCUGUUUUGACGGUACCCAAAGAAAAAGCAACGGCUAACUACGUG